ensembl:lncRNA
CCGGCUCCCGCCGCGCCUCCCCCUGCCCCCCGAGGCUGCCUCCCGGUUCGGCAGAGGCCGCUCGGCAGGGGCAGGAGGCCCAGCGCCACGAAGGGGGCGGAACCAACCGAGCGGCGGCUGCUCCCCGCGGGCCCCGCUCUCGCUUCUCCUUCGCCGGGAAACGCGGCCCGGCCGCCCCGCGGCUCCCCUCUUCCUGCUCCUCGGCAGAGGCCGGCGGGCACCGAGCGCGGCCCCGAAACGCGCCGGCCCCCCUCAGCCGCAGAGCGAAGCAGAACGGACGAGCGAACGAGCGAGCGAGCAGGAAAGGAAAGACAUAGUUCAUAACUCUGCCUCUAUGACACCAACAAGCAGAGCUUCGUCUUCCAGAAGGCAUCUUGGUGCAGUCAACAAGUACCAGCUGUGUCACCGCGGUCUCUGCAUGAGCAAACAAUUACAGGACAGAGCCACACCUGGAUUUGUGCCUGCAAGUGAGGAUUUUCCACUACAGAGAUCAGAUUUUUGAUAACUUGAUGGAUUAUUAAAAAUUACUUCACUGGAGAAGGGAAGGCUGAGAGAAGACUUCAUUGCAACCUCCCAGUAUUUAAAAGGUGACUAUAAAAAGGAGAGGAAUCAACUUUUUACAUGGGUAGACAGUGAUAGGACAAGGGGGAAUGGUUUUAAGCUCAAGGAGGGAAGGUUUAGAUUGGAUGUCAGGGGGAAGUUCUUCACAGAGAGAGAAUGGCGAAGUGCUGGAACAGGCUGCCCAGAGAGGUUGUUGAUGCCCCGUCCCUGAAAGUAUUCAAGGCCUGGUUGGAUGGGGCCCUGGGCUGCCUGGUCUAGUACCAGAUCUGGAGGUUGGUAG